GAAAUAUUAAUAAUUGUGAACUUCUAAUUCAUUGAUCAAAUAAUUAAGUUUAUUUAUAUUUAU
rnacentral:tRNA from 1 species